CCAAUAAAUGAAAAAAAUGUGGAAAGUUAUAAUUUGAGUUGCCCUUGUUCCACGAGCAUGGUGGUUCAUCAAAAGAUGUAUGUACAUGUUGUAAACUCAAAAGCUAGCUGUAGUUAAAGAUUCUUGCUGCUGAAACUUUUCAAACUGAUUCACAAAAGCAAAAAGGAAAAGAGAAAUGUAUCACAUUAGCAUAUAAUAGUUGCUCAAAUAUCAACUUUACUCGAAAAAGAAUGGAAGUUUUUCUCCACUAAUCAAGCAAGUAGCUAAAUAAAAUUAAGCAGAAGCAAAAUGUAUCACAUUAGCAGAGAUAUUUAUCUCUGCUCAAACAUGAGAAGCGAAACGUAACACACUGACAGAGAUAAUAUAGCUUUUCAAGCAAAUCAACUUUACCCCAAAAGAUCAAUGAAGUUUCUUCUCCACUAAUCAAGCAAAUACCUAAAUAAAAAUAUAGUUGGACAUAUCAUGAAUAAUUGAAUUGUAAAGACAGCUACUAUAUUGAGUAUUACUACUACUACACUAAUUUUCAAUUACUUGCAACAUAUUGACAAAUUAUGAAAAACUUUUUAAGUUUUUUUUCCAAAGAGCAGAACAAAGUCAAAGAAGGCGAACUAUCAUCAUUUAAGAAAUCCUAAGAGAAGCAAACCCAGUAAUUUAAGUUAAAUUCGAAAGAAUCAGUUAUAAACAUUUAAACCUUAGUGGUGCCAUGAUUAGUACCUACUUAGUACCUCUGGGCUCUGGACUACACGGUUAGGCAAGAAUAACCAUGACAUAAACUGAAAUAAUGCAUGUUUUCUAAGGUUAUUGUUAAAUCUUUUACCGUUACUCAAUAAUUCUUUUAAUAGACAGUUAGAUGCUAAUACUUUAAAAUAUAGUAUAUGAGGGGUAUCCUUCUGCAGCUCAAGAACUUAAUGAACUAAUUUCUUCACUACAUAAACAAGUUGGUUAACUAUAUUGUAGCACAUUCAAUCUAGAUCAAGAUAGUUGUGCACUAUUCAAUCAUCAUAUGUUCAAUCCAAAUAUUUCAAAUAUAGCUGCAGACAAAGAUACUAAAAAUUGAGUUGUAUAUCUCUGAGAGAAAAAGCAACAAUGACUCCCAGUUGAAUAACUUUUUUUAUAUUCUGCUUUACUUCUGAAACUUUCCCACCAGAAAAGAAUAUAUGUGGAGUAUUAAAUCCUUUUUCACAUGACCUUAGAAGCACAAAAUGUUCCAAUCAAGACAAUGCUUUAAGUAGUAAAUAUUGUACAUAUCAGUUUUUAUGAUUUUUAAAUUUAUUAUGAAAUUAUUCUAAUAUAAGUUAACCCCUAGGUUGAGUUCACUAAUAACAUUAGAUACGACCAAUAGUUCUUAUUCAUCUUAGGAGAAGAUGUAACAAAGGUAGUGCAGGAAACGAAUGUACCACUCUCCAAGUAUUCUUCAAUGAUCUUGCAAAUGACCUUAAUAUCCUCUGUACUUGGUAAACCCUCAUUUUGCAGCUGGAAUUUUCAGCUUUUUUCUGUGGCCAGCUAUUUUCUGAAUCCUGCAGCGAUAUAAUUCUUGCCUCUAUGCACUCGGCUAGAGUAGAGGAAAUUCAAGUCCAGAACCGAGUAAAUAUUAAAAACCUAAAUGGCACAUAUAAAGUUUGGCUGUCCCCAUAUUAGUGCACAUAAUACUUGUAAAAGCAAAAGCUAGAGCAUUUUCACUUGUUGCGUUCAGUUUCAAAAGGAAAUAAUUCCUCACUUACUUCAUAUAGGUUCUUUUUCUAGCAGAGCACAGAAUUACUUUGUGUCUGUUGUAGGUUCGCGUGGUCCUUUUGUACAGGUUCAUCAAGUUGUCUUUUAGUGGUGGAAUGCAGACUGUCAAGCAAAAAUUAACAAUUAUUUCAAGCUGCUCCUAUUAUGAUUUGUGGUAGCUAUGGAUGAGAAGGAACACUGUUAUGUAUGGUGGUACAAUCUCCUUCAAAAGGACGAUACAUGAACUCAACAUAAACUUAUAUAACCUAGCUAAAGUUAGGUAUCCUUGGCUGUAAAAUAUACCUGUUCUUUGGCCAGAUUUGAUUCAGUUCUUUGAAGGGUGCAGAGUAGUUUUGGGAUGCAAGGUGGUGCAAUAACAUUUCACUCAAGAAGGAUGGUUCAAGUGUAAUACUGAUGAAGCCUCCAGGGGAAACCCAAGCCCAAGCUCUGCUGCCUUUUGUGUGAGAAAUAGUGAUAGAGAUCUUGUGCAUGCCAAGGCAAGGAGGCUAGGUAGUACUACUGUAGACAUGUAAUUUUUGACCCUUCCCAAGAUUUUAUACAUUUUUAGCGUAAAUAUUUAGUUUAAUUUUAGUAUCGCUCUCUUUACUUUAUUUUAUCACAAAAAUAAAAAUUACAAAAAAUACUUUCUCUUAUUUAGCUAAUUAAUAUUU
rnacentral:lncRNA from 1 species